AGCGCCGCCAUCUUGCAGAGCCGGCCCGAGGCGGCGCAGGCAGCGGAGCGGGGCGCGGGCGGAUCCCGGGGCAGGUGAGGGCGGCGCCGCCGGGAGGAGCUCGGGCCGCGCACGGCACGGCAGGGACAGCACGGCACGGCGGGGACGGCGCGGGGCCGAGCCGAGCCGGCGGGAAGCGCGAUCCGCCUCGCGCAGGCUUUCCUUUGCAGAGCAUUUUUUUAAAUGCUUGCAUACUCUGUAUUCUCCCAGAUCUGGAUGCUGUCCUAAUUCAUAUAAGAACCCAGGUGAGUGUCUUACAUUGUUUUUACUUUAAUUUGAGUUUUUCAGGACCAUGGCUUCUUUUUUCACCACUAUCAAAACUGUUCUUUUGGGUAGUUUUCACUUCUGUCUGCUGGCUGUUUUGUACUUCACCUUUCACAAAAAUAAUGUAGUUGUUAUCCACUAGAUUUCAGUAUUUCACAUGUCAAAGUAAAACUGUUUUCCUUCAAACAUUAUUUAAAAUUCAGGCUUUCACUGAACCCAUGCAUAUUCUCUGCUAUUUUUGUCCCAAACUAUGCAGUUCAAAAGAUAUUCCAAUGUAGGCAUGCAAUCCACAAAUUUUUUAGACUCUGUUGGAAAGGGAAUAUUCAUGUCUGCUUUUUCCAAAGCAGAGGAGUUUGUAAUUCAAAUCAAGCACUUAGCAGACAAGUCUACAUAAAAAAAAAAAAAAAGGUAGCAUCUUUCUUAAUAUAUGUAGAGGUUUGCAGGACGGACACCAGGCAUCUUAUUAUCUCUGCAAAAUCUUACAAGAUAGAGUUUUGAUAAAUGUUUCUACAGAAGGCAAUGGAAUAUUGAUCUUUCAGGAAGAGAGCAUGUAUUUUGAGCAUCACUUCUAGCUUUUACAUUUUGUGUAGGCACAAUACAGUGUAAAAGUAAUUCUCUAAUUUAUAGGUUUGUCUACCAAAGCAGAGCGCCAUCUGAAAAUAUUUUUUGCCUACUUACCUGUAUUUGCUUGUUACUUGUCUUCAAAACUUUUCUGUUCUCCAUUUAAAAUUCUGAAUUUAAAAAUACUUGGGUGACAGGUCAACUUAGUGAUGAGUUGUAUUUCUUCUUAGGUUUUUGUUGGUUGUUUUUUCUUGCGCGUGAUUGUUUGAUGACUACAAUGGUAAAAAUUCCUUGCAGGGUCCUAAGUGACAUUAGAAUUUAUACCCUUGAAAAUACCAAUAUGAAAAAGUUUUUUGGGGAAGAAAAAGAUUUAUAUAUUUACGUAAGAUUUAUGUGUUUACUUCUCUAAAGCAGUUUUGACUUCUCAGAAAUCCAAGAUAAUAUGCAUUGGAGACUUAGGAAAAGUUU
rnacentral:lncRNA from 1 species